AAAUGAAUUGACGGGGGCCCGCACAAGCGGUGGAGCAUGUGGUUUAAUUCGACGCAACGCGAAGAACCUUACCUGGCCUUGACAUGCAGAGAACUUUCCAGAGAUGGAUUGGUGCCUUCGGGAACUCUGACACAGGUGCUGCAUGGCCGUCGUCAGCUCGUGUCGUGAGAUGUUGGGUUAAGUCCCGUAACGAGCGCAACCCCUGUCCCUAGUUGCUAGCAGGUUAUGCUGAGAACUCUAGGGAGACUGCCGGUGACAAACCGGAGGAAGGUGGGGAUGACGUCAGGUCAUCAUGGCCCUUACGGCCAGGGCUACACACGUGCUACAAUGGCGCGCACAGAGGGCUGCAAACCCGCGAGGGGGAGCCAAUCUCACAAAACGCGUCGUAGUCCGGAUCGGAGUCUGCAACUCGACUCCGUGAAGUCGGAAUCGCUAGUAAUCGUGAAUCAGAACGUCACGGUGAAUACGUUCCCGGGCCUUGUACACACCGCCCGU
rnacentral:rRNA from 1 species